UGGGGAAUAUUGGACAAUGGGCGAAAGCCUGAUCCAGCCAUGCCGCGUGAGUGAAGAAGGCCUUCGGGUUGUAAAGCUCUUUUAGUCGGAAAGAAAGAGUUGCAAUGAAUAAUUGUGAUUUAUGACGGUACCGACAGAAAAAGCACCGGCUAACUACGUGCCAGCAGCCGCGGUAAUACGUAGGGUGCGAGCGUUAAUCGGAAUUACUGGGCGUAAAGGGUGCGCAGGCGGUCUUGCAAGUCAGAUGUGAAAGCCCCGGGCUUACCCUGGGAAUUGCGUUUGAAACUACAAGACUAGAGUGCAGCAGAGGGGAGUGGAAUUCCAUGUGUAGCAGUGAAAUGCGUAGAGAUGUGGAAGAACACCGAUGGCGAAGGCAGCUCCCUGGGUUGACACUGACGCUCAUGCACGAAAGCGUGGGGAGAAAACA
rnacentral:rRNA from 1 species